rnacentral:rRNA from 1 species
CCUACGGGAGGCAGCAGUGAGGAAUAUUGGUCAAUGGACGAGAUUCUGAACCAGCCAAGUAGCGUGAAGGAUGACUGCCCUAUGGGUUGUAAACUUCUUUUAUAUGGGAAUAAAACAGGGUAUGCAUACCCUCUUGUAUGUACCAUAUGAAUAAGCAUCGGCUAACUCCGUGCCAGCAGCCGCGGUAAUACGGAGGAUCCGAGCGUUAUCCGGAUUUAUUGGGUUUAAAGGGAGCGUAGGUGGAUUGUUAAGUCAGUUGUGAAAGUUUGCGGCUCAACCGUAAAAUUGCAGUUGAAACUGGCAGUCUUGAGUACAGUAGAGGUAGGCGGAAUGCGUGGUGUAACGGUGAAAUGCUUAGAUAUCACGAAGAACUCCGAUUGCGAAGGCAGCGCACUGGACUGCAACUGACACUGAUGCUCGAAAGUGUGGGGAUCAAACAGGAUUAGAUACCCGUGUAGUC